ACGCGCGUGGGGAGUAGGAGCAGGACGCUCCUGGGGAGCAGUUGGACCAGGUCAAUGACACUACCGGCGCCAAAGUCCUCGCGGCCGCCGCCGCGCUCUACGCUCAGCGGCGCCAGAAGCACGACGACGACUUCUACACGGUUACCUGCACCUCCUCCACCUUUGACUGCCACCAUGAUUAAUCUCAGCUUGACAGUGAUGGUGGAGUGAAAGUUGAGGGCGAGAAAAAGAUGAUGAAAUAGCAGCAUCAGUUAAAACAUUCAGUGCUAGGCAUCCAAAUUGGACGCAACAGUCAUAUUUGUGGCAUUAGUUUUCAAUGUUGCUGUUCUGGAGGGAUUGAUGGUGUGGAGCAAUACAUAUCUCUCAUUUAAUCAAAAUAAGAAAAAUGCUACAUGCAGUGUAAAAGGGAUUAUAAGCAGGGGAUCCUAUUGCAAAUCCUGUAGGUUAUUUCGUGCCCAAUCGCUCCUGGCUAGCGAGAUCGUGUGUGUAUCGUGACUGCUCCGCUGUUGAGAUAUUGCCGCGCCUUAUCUGAGCUCACCUAAUUGGAUAUUGCCGCGCCUUGUCUGAGCUCACCUAUGUACUAAUCGUGUGUGUGCAUCUCCUGAAGAAUCAGAUAAUUCCCUGGAGGCUCUCCGUGUUCUUGAUAUCAUACUGAGGCAGCAUUCUGCGAAACAGGGCUGUCUUAUAGUCAGGCAGUCAUUUUUCCAUAACAACCCUUCAAACUUUAUUGAGUUGGGUGGUGGUGUGAUGGGUUGUCGUGGAUUUCAUUCAAGCUUUCGUGGCACACAGAGUGGAUUCCCUGAACAUUGCACGUUCACUUGAUCAAAUAGUGUGAGAUUAGACAUCAGAUGAGAUGAAGGUUGGAGAGAUGAGAUGAGAUGACUACUGCAUAUGCAUACAAACUGAACCAAGUUUGAAUAUGACCCAUGUUUCAGAAACCAUAAUUUUCCAUGGAUCCAACGGCAGCUAGAAAACAAGCGACGUGGCCCAAUGGCUGGCUUGAGCUUGGUCCAGCUCUAGAGGUUUAGAGAUUGAUUCAGUUUGAAUAUGAGCUGAAGUGCAUGUCUGGCGUGAGUGGUUACAACAAUGUAUCACUUAACCUCCCCCUCCUUCUUGCUUCCCAGCCCCUGUGUAAUCUAUCUCCCUCGGUAUGCCGAGGAAAAUGCUUGUAUCGACCCAACAAGUUUCAAUGAAUAGUAGGUGGGGAUCCCCCCUCCGAUACCGUUAAAAAAAAUGAAUAUGAGCAUGAUAAGGGGUACAGGGGUAGUGUGCAGCUUACUCCUGCACCUCCGGCAUAGGAAGCAGAACUUUCUGACUGA